rnacentral:tRNA from 1 species
GCGUUGAUAGUGUAAUGGUUAGCAUUGUUGCCUUCCAAGCAAUAGAUCUGAGUUCGAUUCGCGGUCAACGCA